GGUUUUAUGCAGUUUUACGGGACGAACGAUUCGUUAGCCGAGACGAGUGGACAAGUGGAUGGCAGAAAUCGUAAAAGCAGAUUUGUCAAGGCCACCGGGAAUUGGCGUCGCGCAGCCGUUUUAGCACGAUUCGUCGCUUGAUUGAUGACAAAAGCGAGCUCGUCCGGCAAACUUCUAACGGUCGGAUGAUAAAUGGCGACGUAUGCGCAUUUACAAAUGUCGUAUCUAAGUACGAUUUCGUUUCGUGAAAAUAUUUGCAGCGCCGUGUCGCCGUACGCUCGAUAUUUUAUGCGUUAAAAGUGGCUUAAUAUCGGAUACAAGCCUUCUAAAAAUAUGCAAACACAAAAGUGGACUAAAAAGUGCAUUAAAGUAAUAUCAGCUUUGAUAUCGCGACGUAAUCGGGAAAUUGCAUUUCGCGAAAGGAUUUAAAUAUUCUAUGCCGGAAAUUAUUAAUUCUCAAGCGUUUUCCAUGAUAAGCACGACUGCUUUCUGUCGCAGCAAAUAGGUGGCCGACGUUUAUUCGUAAUUUGCGGGAGGACAAGGUGAGAUCGUCAUCUACGACGGCACGAGCCGGAAAUAAGUGGUGGAGGCUGCGGGAAAUAAGGAGAGCUCCUCGGGAUAACAAACAGCGAAAAGUGGUGAGUUGUUCAAGAAGGAGGAAAGGGAGUAGAAGAGAGAGAAAAAGAGAGAGAGAGAGAGAGAGAGAGCGUUCUGGAAAGGGGGGCAAGGCGAGAGACAUUGCCGCAAUUCCCAUUCAAAUUAAUGCAAACGGUCCCCGCUACCGAGGCCAACAGGAGGUGGAGAGGAUUCCGCCUACAUUUUUUCCCCUCCGUGCCGCUGCAAUGAUGAACAUUUGCGUCACGCCAUUCUUCGAAACCGAGAGACGGAACGAGUCUGCUCGUCCCGUCUACGCAAAGUCGCCCCAAGAAAGAUCUCAUUUCUCACGAGAAUUUUGCAUAACGCGACCAGCGGAGGCAAAACGAAAUAAAUGUAUUACCGCACGUAGCGUCAACCAAAGAAAAUUUCCUUCUCCAAAUAAGAAAGACAUACUACUAUAAGAAUGUAUCGCCAUGUCUCACGGAUUGUUUUGCACUCGCGAACGAACAUUCAAUUAUUCGCGCAUCUCACCGGCGAUAUCUCUAACAUCAAUAACGGAGAGAUUAUGAAACGCGAAUUAAUUUAAUACAACCACGAGACUCUGUCAUAACUAAUAACGAUCGGACGAGUUAUAGAGAACGCGAGUGCAUGAUAUUUGCGUAUAACCACGAAUAAUUCAUAGGAGCUGGUUGGCAUUUUUCCAUCGUCCUGAUAUGACGCUUACUAAAAUAACUGGUUUACGCUCCAAACGCGUAAUGCCGUCCGAACGUGUGUGGUAACAUGAUAACUCGAUAACGUAAGAUAACAAUUAUUGGGGACGAGUCAUAUGCUUACAAAGGGCUAGUACAUACAAUAUCUACAUUUUUUACAUUUUUUAUUAUGAUUCCCUCCACAUACAUGCCGCAUGCAUGCAUUAAUUAAAAUACAUUAAUUACAUUACACUGUCGAUCACAUGUUUUUCUAUUUAUCUUGAUUAGUGGUGCACAGACGUUCCUGAUGCUUGUCAAACUGCAAAGGAUUAAUCUUUUACUACCAAAGGCUCGUAUUUGCCUCUCGACGAGCUGAGUUUGCUGGAUUACGAGCGGAAACCGCGCGGAGGUACACUUCGAAACUGUCUACGUUGAAAAUGAAGCCGAGCAGUAAGGCAGCAAUAGCGCGCUGAGACGAAAACUACAACAGGGAAACAGCGCAUUCAGAGCACAAAUACGAGGAUGAAAAACAGCAGAGGAUGAAGGAGAAUAAUUCGAAGGGAUAUCGCACUAAUGUAAUGACAAAGCGCCGAACAAAGGGGUGUCCUUCGGACUGUACAAAUACGUGAAUUAAAAAGGGAUAUUUAAUCGCGCUAAUUGUCAAACAAGACUUGCAUGGAUUCAUACGAGUAUCCUGAUCCUUUAAAGCACACGCUAAAUAUUAAUUACGAGAGUACGACGUUCAUAUUCGCUUCGAAUCAAUUAUACUCAUAAUAAAAUGUAUGAUGAUGAAAAAAGUUUCUGCACAUUUCGUGUACGAGCGUACGUUAAAAGUGCAUAAUAAAAAGUAUGUGCUUAAAUUAA
rnacentral:lncRNA from 1 species